rnacentral:rRNA from 1 species
UCGUAACAAGGUUUCCGUAGGUGAACCUGCGGAAGGAUCAUUGUCGAAACCUUGUGGCAGAAUGACUUGUUAACUUGUACCAAUUCAAGAUUCUAGUGUCGGGGCCAUCUUUCGGGUCUGGCCACGACGAACAAAAACACCGGCGCAGCAGCGCCAAGGAAUUUCGUAAAUGAGAAUGCUACCUCGCAGAGCUCAUCUCCACUGCUUGUGAGGUUGGCGUCUUUUUUAUAAUAAUGACUCUCGGCAAUGGAUAUCUCGGCUCUUGCAUCGAUGAAGAACGUAGCGAAAUGCGAUACUUGGUGUGAAUUGCAGAAUCCCGCGAACCAUCGAAACUUUGAACGCAAGUUGCGCCUUAAGCCAUUAGGUUGAGGGCACGUUUGCUUGGGUGUCAUGCAUAAUGUCUUCCCUCCCGUGUUUUGGGUUGGGAGUGGAUCGUGGCCUCCUGGGCCCAUCCUUGGGUGUGGUUGGCCGAAAAUAUUGUCUGUGAUUUUGUUGAUGUCUUGGCGUGCGGUGGAUGUACAGAGUGUGCAUAAUGGCUUGCCCUGCUCGACUUCGUUGUGGCGUUGAGAUCCUUUGAAGCUGUCGGUGUUGGCUCUUUGAUUGCGACCCCAAGUCAGGCGAGACUACCCGCUGAGUUU